rnacentral:rRNA from 1 species
UACGAAGGUGGCAAGCGUUGUUCGGAUUUACUGGGCGUACAGGGAGCGUAGGCGGUUGGAUAAGCCCUCCGUGAAAUCUCCAGGCUUAACCUGGAAAGUGCAGAGGGGACUGUUCAGCUAGAGGAUGGGAGAGGAGCGCGGAAUUCCCGGUGUAGCGGUGAAAUGCGUAGAGAUCGGGAGGAAGGCCGGUGGCGAAGGCGACUAUCUGGGGUGCAACUGACGCUGAGGCGCGAAGGCUAGGGUAGCAAACAGGG